UAGUGACAAGAAAUAACAAUACGGGGCUUAAAGUCUUGUAAUUGGAAUGAUGGGAAUUUAAACCUCUUCCAGAGUAUCAAUUGGAGGGCAAGUCUGGUGCCAGCAGCCGCGGUAAUUCCAGCUCCAAUAGCGUAUAUUAAAAUUGUUGCAGUUAAAAAGCUCGUAGUUGAAUUUCUGCUGCAUUGCUUGUGUCCCUCUGGGGUCUGUGCAUGUGGCUUUUUUCGGACGGAGUUUCUUUGUCUGAAUGUUUACUUUGAGAAAAUUAGAGUGCUCAAAGCAGGCUUUCGCCUUGAAUAGUUUAGCAUGGAAUAAUAAAGUAGGACUUUGGUUCUAUUUUGUUGGUUUUAGGUACCAAAGUAAUGGUUAAUAGG
rnacentral:rRNA from 1 species